rnacentral:rRNA from 1 species
CUAGCUACAGGCUUUAACACAUGCAAGUCGUGGGGCAGCAUGGACUGGAGCUUGCUCUUCCAGGAUGACGACCGGCGCACGGGUGAGUAACGCGUAUCCAACCUGGCCCAUACCACGGGAUAGCCCGUCGAAAGGCGGAUUAAUACCGUAUGCUGUCAUUAAGAUGCAUAUAUUGAUGACGAAAGGACUGGCGGUAUGGGAUGGGGAUGCGUCUGAUUAGCUUGUUGGCGGGGUAACGGCCCACCAAGGCGACGAUCAGUAGGGGUUCUGAGAGGAAGGUCCCCCACAUUGGAACUGAGACACGGUCCAAACUCCUACGGGAGGCAGCAGUGAGGAAUAUUGGUCAAUGGACGGAAGUCUGAACCAGCCAAGUAGCGUGCAGGAUGACGGCCCUAUGGGUUGUAAACUGCUUUUAUGUGGGAAUAAAGUCAGGGACGUGUCCCUGUUUGCAUGUACCACAGGAAUAAGGACCGGCUAAUUCCGUG